CCUACGAAACAGCUGUUUGCACAUAAGCUUAACAGUUCCCUGUGAGAUGCUGUGAAAGUCAGCAGGGAAGUGCGAUGUAGAAGAAACGACUGCCAGAAGCUUGCUAAGGAACCGCACAACCUGUGUGGGCAGCAGACAAAAUAUUCAUCAAACGAAGUUUUGCACCAAAGUUAUGAGAGCAGCACAGAUGUUGUUUUAG